UAAGUUAUUAAGGGCGCACGGUGGAUGCCUUGGCACUAGAAGCCGAUGAAGGACGUUACUAACGACGAUAUGCUUUGGGGAGCUGUAAGUAAGCUUUGAUCCAGAGAUUUCCGAAUGGGGAAACCCAGCAUGAGUUAUGUCAUGUUAUCGAUAUGUGAAUACAUAGCAUAUCAGAAGGCACACCCGGAGAACUGAAACAUCUUAGUACCCGGAGGAAGAGAAAGAAAAUUCGAUUCCCUUAGUAGCGGCGAGCGAAACGGGAAGAGCCCAAACCAACAAGCUUGCUUGUUGGGGUUGUAGGACACUCUAUACGGAGUUACAAAGGACGACAUUAGACGAAUCAUCUGGAAAGAUGAAUCAAAGAAGGUAAUAAUCCUGUAGUCGAAAAUGUUGUCUCUCUUGAGUGGAUCCUGAGUACGACGGAGCACGUGAAAUUCCGUCGGAAUCUGGGAGGACCAUCUCCUAAGGCUAAAUACUC
rnacentral:rRNA from 1 species